AGGGGAAUUGCUGGGUCAUAUGGGUAACUUUGUGUUUAACAUUUUGAGAAACUACCAAGUUGUUUUCCAAGGUGGCUGUACUAUUUUACAUUCCCACAAGCAAU
rnacentral:pre_miRNA from 1 species